AGUGUUACGCCGGAUGAACGGAAAUCAUUGAUGUUGAUUACUAUGGGAUAUUAUAUUCUCUAACACUA
rnacentral:tRNA from 1 species